AUACGUAGGGGGCAAGCGUUAUCCGGAAUUACUGGGUGUAAAGGGAGCGUAGGCGGGAGUGCAAGUCAGAUGUGAAAUACAUGGGCUCAACCCAUGGGCUGCUUUGGAAACUGCAUUUCUUGAGUGAAGUAGAGGUAAGCGGAAUUCCUGGUGUAGCGGUGAAACGCGUAGAUAUCAGGAGGAACACCGGUGGCGAAGGCGGCUUACUGGGCUUUUACUGACGCUGAGGCUCGAAAGCGUGGGGAGCAAACAGGAUUAGAUACCCUGGUAGUCCACGCUGUAAACGAUGAUUACUAGGUGUGGGGGGACUGACCCCUUCCGUGCCGCAGUUAACACAAUAAGUAAUCCACCUGGGGAGUACGGCCGCAAGGUCGAAACUCAAAUGAAUUGACGGGG
rnacentral:rRNA from 1 species